GGAAUUUCUUAAGAAAGAAAGAAAUACAUUGCAUGAAGCCAUUGGAGGAAGGAUCGAGCCCGUUUGUUCUGACUGUUCUGACUGCUUGCCCAAGAUUGCUGGUUACUCUGUAUGUACAGCUACUAUAAAUGAUGAGGGAAAAGACUCCAGCUUCUAACAGAUAUAACUGCCAAGAACUGAAAGUCCUGAGAUUUUAUAUUACUUUCGAACCACGAAGUUAGCCUGCCAGCUUCAUGGAUGCUGACAGAAGACACAAGACUCCAAGAUCAGAAGCAAAGGAUUAUCCUCUUAAUAGCACAGCAAGCAGCAGCCUUCACCAUGAAGACACGUUGAAUAUGGCCUGCUCCCCUAUGAAGAGGAAGGGGGAAUGAGAGAAUGUGCCUCAUUCUUUUUUGUUGUUUUUUGCUUUAUCUCCCCUCGCUUUCUUUUUUUCAUUUCACUUUCAUGUUUACAUCUGUGAUGGUUAAUUCUGAGUGUCAACUUUAUUGGAUUGAAGGUUGCAAAGUCUUGAUCCUGGGUUUGUCUGUAAGGGUGUUGCCAAAGGAGAUUAACACUUGAGUCAGUGGGCUGGGGCAGGCAGAUCCACCUUUAAUCUGGAGGCCACAAUCUAAUCAGCUGCCAGCGAAUAUAAAGCAGGCAGAAAAAUGUGAAAAAUAGAGACUGGCCUAGCCUCCCAGCUUAUAUCUCUCUCCCACGCUGGAUGCUUCCUGCCCUUCAACAUCAGACUCCAGGUUCUUCAGUUUUGGGACUCAAACUGGCUCUCCUUGCUCCUCAGCU
rnacentral:lncRNA from 1 species